GACGAACGCUGGCGGCGUGCCUAACACAUGCAAGUCGAACGGAGAUACGAUUUCGGUUGUAUCUUAGUGGCGAACGGGUGAGUAACGCGUGAACAACCUGACUCUAAGAGGGGGAUAACACUCGGAAACGGGUGCUAAUACCGCAUAAGACCACGACCCGGCAUCGGGAUGAGGUCAAAGGAGCAAUCCGCUGAGAGAGGGGUUCGCGUCCCAUUAGAUAGAUGGCGGGGUAACGGCCCACCAUGUCAACGAUGGGUAGCCGAGCUGAGAGGCUGAUCGGCCAAACUGGAACUGAGACACGGUCCAGACUCCUACGGGAGGCAGCAGUGGGGAAUAUUGGGCAAUGGGCGCAAGCCUGACCCAGCAACGCCGCGUGAGGGAAGAAGGCUUUCGGGUUGUAAACCUCUGUCCUUGGUGACGAAACAAAUGACGGUAGCCAAGGAGGAAGCCCCGGCUAACUACGUGCCAGCAGCCGCCGUAAUAC
rnacentral:rRNA from 1 species